CAACGUGUGGGAGCUGACACGCGGCCGCUGCCCCUCUCCAGCCCCUCCCUUUCCUCCCCUCGCUCUCUCCCCUACUCUUUUCUGUAAGCCGAGACGUCACAGUGGUCUUCAUCCCCGCCACAGAGACCCAUACGAAGACGUCACAAAUAUUCACACCAUCAGAGAGAGAGAGAGAGAGAGAGAGAGAGAGAGAGAGAGAGAGAGACACUUAUUGAACACACUAUCUCUGGUGUUUCAGAUCACAAUGCUUGCCUUGCUGGACUCGGCGGACCCUGAGAGAAAGGAGAGGAAACGCAGUGAAAGGAAGGUGCGCGAGGUCGUGCGAGGGCCCACAUCUGGCCAGACCCCAUCAGUCUGCAGACCGAGGCGUCAACGAUGCAGACGCCGGGGACUUGACAAGGACAACAAGAUAACGAGUUCGUUAGCACCUGUGGCAGGGAUGCAGCAGUAGCAGCAGCAGCAGCAGCAGCAGCAGCAGCAGCGGCAGUGCGAGG